UGUAUCUUUACCUCAAGAGGAUUCAUUUUCUAUUCUAAGGUACUGUAUCUUUACCUCAAGAGGAUUCAUUUUCUAUUCUAAGGUACUGUAUCUUUACCUCAAGAGGAUUCAUUUUCUAUUCUAAGGUACUGUAUCUUUACCUCAAGAGGAUUCAUUUUCUAUUCUAAGGUACUGUAUCUUUACCUCAAGAGGAUUCAUUUUCUAUUCUAAGGUACUGUAUCUUUACCUCAAGA